UUUGAUGGCGACCGGCGCACGGGUGAGUAACACGUAUCCAACCUGCCGAUGACUCGGGGAUAGCCUUUCGAAAGAAAGAUUAAUACCCGAUGGCAUAGUUCUUCCGCAUGGUAGAACUAUUAAAGAAUUUCGGUUAUCGAUGGGGAUGCGUUCCAUUAGUUUGUUGGCGGGUAACGGCCCACCAAGACUACGAUGGAUAGGGGUUCUGAGAGGAAGGUCCCCCACAUUGGAACUGAGACACGGUCCAA
rnacentral:rRNA from 1 species